UUGCAUCAACCUUCUCAUCCCGAGUUUGCCCGAUGUCUGCAUUACGUUGUAGUCUCUCCCUCCGGAGUGCACAGAUCCUCAGAACGAGCGUGAGUUAAACUGUGGCGUCCUCCAGCUAGGAGUUUGCAGAAACUUGACAUGGAGCAGAACGCCAAGUACAACAAAACGCUGGGAAGCGAUAAUGAGCUUUCAAAACUGGCAGCAAUUCCUCUUGGGUUCCUCUUCAAGUACAAUACCAGUGCAGCUUGUGUUGCUAGCAGAAAAGGGCAGGAAGAAGAUUCUGCGCAAGGUAUGCUCAGGUGAGUCGGGGGGAAGAUAAGCCUGUGCUGUUCCAAACUGAGGAAGCUGUGUUUGAACAGUAGUGCAUUCAAACUGAUAAUCUCUUUAUACUUUUAUACUUGUGACCAGCAAGACAUACCCUGGAGCGGAGGAGAAAAAAGACAAGGCUGAGCGUUUUUAAGCACUAAAGGAUUCCUUGUAACUUUUUAAAAGGUACUAUGAGGUGUAUAUGUAGCAAGAGGACAAAUUAAGUACUGAAGGAAUGAAGGAUCAGACAAAAGCAAUGAAGAGGGUGUCGUUUGCCUCCAUAUUUUUCUUACAUGAGCCAUAGAUGCUAAAGUACUUCCUCAAGAGGCCCAGCGGAGCAAAGCCUCAAGGAUAAAGAAAAAGGGGAGCACUCAGUACUGUGACCACUUUCUAAAAGAGAAAACCCUGAAGGCUUUCCUGCUGCCUGUGGAAAAGGUACCGGUUCUGGCUCUUCCGGACCUUUCGGUCUUUAUCAGGACAAGAAGGCGGCUUCUCCAGGUGCCACUGCAGCGUGGCCAGCAGCUGCCCUUGGCUGCCCCUCGCCCCGAGGGCAGGUGCUGGUGCAGGUCUGCUUCACCCCAGCCUGCUGCUUCCACCGCCUGCCCGUGGGACACACGAGUCUAACCGCUGCCCCCACCUUGCCUGCCUACCCUUCUGCAUGCCAAAACCUUGCUGGAGAACAAGGCAGCAGUUUUGUCCUCCUGUUAAGAUGACUAGCGAAAAUAAAAGCAAGUACCCCUGUGACACUUCUCUUGACAAAUGAAAGAAAAAAAGAAAA